rnacentral:SRP_RNA from 1 species
AGUUGGUUCUCCCGCAAUGCUGAUUUGUGAACUCGGUCAGGUCCGGAAGGAAGCAGCCGUAACAGAUGACGCGUGUGCCGGGAUGUGGCUGGCAGGG